UACGUAGGGUGCAAGCGUUGUCCGGAAUUAUUGGGCGUAAAGAGCUCGUAGGCGGUCUGUCGCGUCUGCUGUGAAAACUCGGGGCUUAACCCCGGGCCUGCAGUGGGUACGGGCAGACUAGAGUGCGGUAGGGGAGACUGGAAUUCCUGGUGUAGCGGUGAAAUGCGUAGAGAUCCGGAGGAACACCGACGGCGCAGGCAGGUCUCUGGGCCACUACUGACGCUGAGGAGCGAAAGCAUGGGGAGCGAACAGG
rnacentral:rRNA from 1 species